rnacentral:rRNA from 1 species
GACGAACGCUGGCGGCGUGCCUAAUACAUGCAAGUCGAGCGGACUUUUAACCUUCGGGUUCAAGUUAGCGGCGGACGGGUGAGUAACACGUAGGCAACCUGCCUGUAAGAUCGGGAUAACUAUCGGAAACGAUAGCUAAGACCGGAUAAUUGAUGUUUCCGCAUGGAGGGAUCAUGAAACACGGAGCAAUCUGUGGCUUACAGAUGGGCCUGCGGCGCAUUAGCAGUAGGUGAGGUAACGGCUCACCUAGGCGACGAUGCGUAGCCGACCUGAGAGGGUGAACGGCCACACUGGGACUGAGACACGGCCCAGACUCCUACGGGAGGCAGCAGUAGGGAACCUUCCGCAAUGGACGCAAGUCUGACGGAGCAACGCCGCGUGAGUGAUGAAGGUUUCGGAUCGUAAAGCUCUGUUGCCCUAGACGAACAGCAGGGAGAGUAACUGCUCUCUGUGUGACGGUA